AAGCGGCAACAGCUCAAAUUUGAAAUCUGGCCUCUUUUGGGGUCCGAGUUGUAAUUUGCAGAGGGCGCUUUGGCGUUGGCAGCGGUCCAAGUUCCUUGGAACAGGACGUCACAGAGGGUGAGAAUCCCGUACGUGGUCGCUGGCCUUCGCCGUGUAAAGCCCCUUCGACGAGUCGAGUUGUUUGGGAAUGCAGCUCUAAAUGGGAGGUAAAUUUCUUCUAAAGCUAAAUACUGGCCAGAGACCGAUAGCGCACAAGUAGAGUGAUCGAAAGAUGAAAAGCACUUUGGAAAGAGAGUCAAACAGCACGUGAAAUUGUUGAAAGGGAAGCGCUUGCAGCCAGACUUGCCUGUAGUUGCUCAUCCGGGCUUUUGCCCGGUGCACUCUUCUAUAGGCAGGCCAGCAUCAGUUUGGGCGGUUAGAUAAAGGUCUCUGUCAUGUACCUCUCUUCGGGGAGAACUUAUAGGGGAGGCGACAUGUAACCAGCCCAGAUUGAGGUCCGCGCAUUUGCUAGGAUGCUGGCGUAAUGGCUGUAAGCGGCCCGUCUUGAAACACGGACCAAGGAGUCUAACAUCUAUGCGAGUGUUUGGGUGUCAAGCCCGAGCGCGCAAUGAAAGUGAACGGAGGUGGGAACCCCUCGGGGUGCACCAUCGACCGAUCCUGAUGUCUUCGGAUGGAUUUGAGUAAGAGCAUAGCUGUUGGGACCCGAAAGAUGGUGAACUAUGCUUGAAUAGGGUGAAGCCAGAGGAAACUCUGGUGGAGGCUCGCAGCGGUUCUGACGUGCAAAUCGAUCGUCAAA
rnacentral:rRNA from 1 species